GACGAACGCUGGCGGCGUGCCUAAUACAUGCAAGUAGAACGCUGAAGGAGGAGCUUGCUUCUCUGGAUGAGUUGCGAACGGGUGAGUAACGCGUAGGUAACCUGCCUGGUAGCGGGGGAUAACUAUUGGAAACGAUAGCUAAUACCGCAUAACAGUAGAUGUUGCAUGACAUUUGCUUAAAAGGUGCAAUUGCAUCACUACCAGAUGGACCUGCGUUGUAUUAGCUAGUUGGUGGGGUAACGGCUCACCAAGGCGACGAUACAUAGCCGACCUGAGAGGGUGAUCGGCCACACUGGGACUGAGACACGGCCCAGACUCCUACGGGAGGCAGCAGUAGGGAAUCUUCGGCAAUGGACGAAAGUCUGACCGAGCAACGCCGCGUGAGUGAAGAAGGUUUUCGGAUCGUAAAUGCUCUGUUGUAAGAGAAGAACGAUGUGUGAUGAUGUGGAAAUGUUCACACUGUGAC
rnacentral:rRNA from 1 species